CCGCCCGCGUCCUGCGGCUCGCUCCACUCCAGCACCAACGACGUCUCAUUCACGUUGGAGAUGACGCUGCGUGGGGCUGAGGGCACACUGGUGCAGGCGCUGUCUGCGGGGUCCGCGUCUGCUCGGAAGAAGCCGCUGCGACAUAUGCAGACUGUGGCUGCCCCCGCGGUGGUGCGGCUGUUGGGAGGGCAGGGGGAGCAGGGGCCCUCGCCCUGCUUGGAUUUGAACGUCCCCG
rnacentral:lncRNA from 1 species